rnacentral:lncRNA from 1 species
UUGGAAAAGAUAAAACCACAUGUUUUGAACCCCAGGUUAACAAGCCUAGAUGCCAAGAUUUCACAUCUCAUGUUGUCACACCCCGGUCCCGCCGUCGGUGGGUUUAAAGCACCGGACGCCGAACCCAAGACGUGAACGAGUGUUACAAAGCUGAAUAAAACAAAAAACACUAUCUUCUAGGCUCGUCGGCUACCAUUUCCCGGCUCGAUCAAAUCUACGUACUUCUCUGCAAAAAAUAUUAGAGAUGAGUGGGUGAGCAUAGCCACACGCUCAGUGAGUAGACCAAUGUAAUAUGCCCGCAAAACCAUGUCAUUUUACACACGCUACAAAAUACGUAUAUCAUAUACACAUCACUUCACGCAAUUCAUCACAUCACACAAUCCCUUCUUAUUGGAUAUCCUUCAAUUUAGUGAUCUCCACGGGAACCUAAUGACCUUCAUGUCCUAUACCUCCGUGUGUCACAUCCUUAUUUCGGCAUAACCAAUCAAGAAGUUCACAUGUUCCAUGACUAGUCAAACAAUAGAUCCAACACAUAAAUAUAUAUAAACACCGCACAUUUUGUAAAUAGAUAUGCUUCACUUUAAAACAGAGAGAUAUUUCGUAAAUAGAUCAAAAUCAUGUUUUUCGACUAUUUUGAUAGCAAAUAAGAAUAUUUGAAACGUAUUACACAAAUCCACUCACCUCAGCAAAGCGAAACCCCACCACGAAUACCGAUCGUAAACCGAGCCUCCUAAAAUGAGCCAUCUAGAAUCACUGUUGGAUCUAGCUCAAACCUCUAGGAUAGGAAGAGGAUAUCAAGACGAACCCGUAACACUUAGCGGAUUCAGAAUCGGAGUUACGGAUCAAAAGUUAUGAUCCGCCGAAAUUUAGUCGCAAAAACCCUAGAGAAAAAAUUUAGGAGAGGCAGAGAGACUUACGAAAAUGAGGGGCUGAUCCCUCCUAUUUAUACCCAAAAAAUUGCCACGUGUUAACAAAUGAUUGGGCCAUUUGUUGCCACAUGUCAAACAACAACACAUUCCCACAAUGACUCAUGCUGAUGUUGACGUCAUCAGCCCACAUGGGUGACGUCAGCGCGUCAGCUGGUAGCCACGUGUCAGACUCUUAACCAAUCGGAAUGCGCCAUGUGGCAUUCCGAUCCUAUUUGAACCUAAUCUUCAAAAAAUUGUUAAAAAUAGCUUGGAAGUCCGAAAAAUUCACCGAAAAAUAUGACGAACUGGUGGCGACCUUUACUUUCUUCAGAAGAAAAAUUAAUUUUGAGAAAUUUCAAAAUUCUGGAUGUUACACAUGCGCUUAUAGUCUUUGACGCGCCACAUCGACAAGAGUCUUUAAUUGCAAUCUGUGUAAAAAGUAAUGACCACAAAGUACUGAGCGUUUCUUGAAACGUCCAUCUAACUCACCUUGUUGAGUUAUUAAGCCAAGUGGAUUGCUUACCACCUUAUUUGACUACAUAUUGUCGAUGAUAUUCCGUGGCAUCCUGAUCCAUAAUCUUUAGCGGAUUCGAUCAUCAUCAAGUUCUCUAUGCCCUCCAAGUUGGUUUGGAAUUACCAACGAGGCUUGAUUUUGAUCAUACAAUUGCAAACGGGAUUGUAUAUACGCUAAUGCAAUAAACGUAUUUAGGAUUGUCCCCUAAUGUGGGGACAACAAUAUGAGUCAUGGCAACGGCAGAAAAUGCCGCGCCGAUGUCUAGAAAAGAGGGGGAGGUGUCGCUGGCCUUAAUGGGGACAUUCCCGGUCUCGACACCAAUUUGUCAAAACUACUUAUGUCAGCUCAUGACAAUGCAAUCGUUGUGGAUCUCCGGAUCACUGAUUCAAGAGUUGUCGAGCUCUCCUUCAAAUUGUGAAUGCAUACAAAAAGGUACGGAAAAUCAAUACGAGGACAAGAACGUCAUCCUCAUGAUUGCGAAUUUCAAAGAUUCGGAUCCUGCUCUAGCUACCCCGACUUUGACGUCAUCGGCUAGACAUUGAUUUUCGUUCCAAGCAUGUAAUAAGGUGUCGUAUCGACGUCCUUCAUCUAUUUGAGACCUCGAUGUACUCACAUUAGCAAUAAUGAAUGCCUUGUGAAUUUUGAAAAUUUUUUCGAAGUGAAACUAUUCUCCUUUUAUGGUUCGUAUUGAUUUACAAACAAAAUAUACAUUCUUACAUCGUCCUUAGAAACAUGGCAUAUUGUGCCGAUUUUGGUCCCUUCCUUUGAAGGUAACUCACGGCACCGUACCGCAUCCUCAAGGAGGAUCGCUGACGUGUUUUCCGGUUAAGUCUUCUACCCUAUAGCGGAUUUUCCAUCAUCGAAUGUUCAACUAGGCUCAUCCAAGCUCAAUGUGAUGUCUUUGAAUUGUCCGAAAUUAAGGAGAUAAUGGUUUAAGUGUGCCUCACACUACCGACUCUCCACGGACAUGUAUGGUCAUGUUAACUUGGAGUUAGCAAAAGCUUUUGAUUUUGGAUCCCCCUACGCUAUUAAACUAAUUUUCGUCUUGCAAAAGACGUUGAAGACUUAUCAAACCGGGCAAUCAUCAUAAUCGAAUCCUCUAGGUCCUCUGAGUUAGUUUAUGUUCAUGCCAGGAAGCUUUCGCUAACUUCGCUAACUAGUCAUGGGGUUUACGAUCUUGGAAAGACCGAAAGGACUUGAUUUUGAUCAUCAUAUACACGUCAUUUUGGCUUCGGCUUAUGCCCACACGCCAUCUAUAAGCUUCAUUGCUUUGCAUAUGCCAAAUCUGUGAAAAACAACAAUCUGUUCCUUCUAGACAACUAACUUCAUUUGAGCAUUGUGAACAGCUCUGGAUGAACCAGACAGUGACUUUUAUAUCAUUGAGAAAGCUCUACAAGUCUAGUUUUCAUAACUUUUCACGGUUCAUCCAUAUCUAUUUUAACAAAAAAGUUAUGGUUGUUUUAGUGCACAAAGGUCAUUCUGCGCGGAAAUUUUUAUGCACUCUCGGGAUUGCAGCUUUUUAUAGCUUCUUUCAAUCCUUCUAAAUAGUUCAAGUGGAAUUAUUUACUCUCCUAUCUACUCUAUUUUGUAGACCUGUCUCAUAGAGACAUUGAGUGCUUUGUAG